CCCUCCGCUCCCCUCAAAAAAUAAUGGUCUGUCUUUUAUGUAUGUUUCUUUGAUCUCCAGAUGGAAUCCUUGAAGACUUUGCCACAGAUGGGACUGACAGAAAAGAUGUGUUUUUCUAUCAGGCUGAUGAUGAACACUAUAUUCCCAGAGCAGUUCUUUUGGAUUUAGAACCAAGGGUAAUAGAUGCAAUCACUUCUUCGCCGUAUGCCAAUUUGUACAACCCUGAAAACAUGUACACUUCAAAACAUGGUGGAGGUGCAGGCAACAAUUGGGCCAGUGGAUAUUCUCAGGCUGAACGACUUCAUGAAGAAACAUUUGAUAUUAUCGACAGAGAAGCUGAUGGCAGUGACAGUUUAGAGGUACCAUUACUGAAGGGAAAUUGGAUCAUGUGUACAAAGGGCGUCAACGGUUGAUUGUCAAUUGAUACCCUCAAUCCACCCUUGAUCAACACUCAA